GAAAAUGUAUGUCUAUUUAAAUCGCACAUAAAAAUAUCUGGUCAAAUUUUCAUUGUAAAUAUGAAUUCCUUUGUUAUAAGAGCAGCUAAACCUUAUUUGGCCACUACAAGAGAAACUGUUAAUGGUCAUUAUGGAGAAAUCCUUUACAAGGGAGAUAGGUUAGUUACGUUUAUAUAUGAAAAAUCGAGAUCUAGUGACAUAACGCAAGGUCUUCCAAAAGUGGAACAAAUCUUUGAAGCGCGUUCAAUUGAUUCAUUAUCCUCGAAUCUCGAAAGGAGAAUUGAGGAUUGGAAUGAGCGUAUACCAAGAAUUCUUGGGGUCCCUUGGGGACUCUUGAUUGGAGCUGAGCUAACCAUAGCCCAAAUUCGUAUCUCUUUGGUUAAUAAAAUCCAAAAGGUUUAUCGAUCCCAAGGGGUACAGAUCCAUAAUAGACAUAUAGAGAUUAUUAUACGCCAAGUAACAUCAAAAGUGCGGGUUUCCGAAGAUGGAAUGUCUAAUGUUUUUCUUGGGGAAUUAAUCAGACUAUUGCGAGCGGAACGAGCAGGACGAGCUUUUGAUGAAUCGAUCUAUUAUCGGGCAAUCUUAUUGGGAAUAACAAGGGCUUCCCUGAAUACCCAAAGUUUCAUAUCUGAAGCAAGUUUUCAGGAAACUGCUCGAGUUUUAGCAAAAGCUGCCCCACGAGGUCGCAUUGAUUGGCUGAAAGGCUUGAAAGAAAACGUAGUUCUGGGGGGGAUUAUACCUGUUGGUACCGGAUUCCAAAAAUUUGUGCAUCGUUCCCCACAAGACAAGAACCUUUAUUUCGAAACAAAAAAAAUCUAUUCGAGUCAGAAAUGA
rnacentral:rRNA from 1 species